ensembl:lncRNA
GGGUCGGGCUCGCGCCCACGGUGGUGAUGCUGCUGGCUGUCGGUGCUAGUUGGGAACCAGCCAGUUAGUCAGUGGCUCCAAAUAAAUUACCACAUUUGUGGUGUUUGACACUGACGUUCGUCCGUGUAGCGGAGCAACUGACAAACGCAAUAUAUCGCUGUAAUUGUUGCUGAUGCUAAUGAGCUGCAGCGGCCGUACGAGCAUUAAACAGCGGAUACUUAUUCUAACUAACGGCGGUUAGCUUGCUAUCGUUCAAGCUAACAUCCUGAAUUUUAGAGACGACGGUAGUGAACUACUUCAGUCAUCAUGUUGCUCCGGCCCUCUGCUGUGAAUACUUUAGUUUGUUGCAGCCUUGCAUAACCGCUGGAAAUUACUGACGACCAUAGCCUCCACCAGCUCAACAACAUUAUUCACACACAGUGAGCCAGCUGGCUGGUUGGCUAACUCUUAGUUAGCACACCGUUAGCAGCUAACUUAGCCAGUGAUGCUAGCAGCAGAGACAGUGUACAACGCGAACAGCUGAAGUCAUGUCUGUCAGAUGGAGCUGAAGUGUUGCUCGGCUUGCAAAAGAUGACGGGCCACAUGAGCUGGGGUUAUGUGCCUUUGUCAGCAGGAAGCGGAACAUGGACGCCGUAGAAGAGUGGAAGAAAGACCCGAGUGCACACAAACUUCUGAAUGAAAAGGUGCUUUGCAAGCAGAAUGGAAAGAUCGGUAUAGUGAGAACUCUUCACAGCCUGUUGAAAACCCAGAAAACUCUGCAGAUUCAAUCCAUCACCCGCUCAGAAUGUGCUGGUUCCUGUCCAAAUCUAAUGAUGAGUAGGAGUGAGCACGCCGAUGUAAGGCCCGUCCCCGUGGCCCUCACCCCCCAGCUCCCACCCAGAGCCCACCGACCCCUCUGUGUGUCUGUUUCCUCCGACAGCAGUGGACGCUUCAAGGCUCUGGAGACGCAGGAGUGGAAGAACAACCUCAAAGCCCAGAUGGAACAGGCACACAGUGCAGGAGCUGCCAGCAGCACAGGUUCUCUGGAGCGAGCGUCCCUCUUCUGCGCCUCUGCUUCAACUACAGCAUCCAGCUCUGGUCUGUCCAGCCCGGUGGAGAUUCUCAACAAGAGCAAAUCCUCCAGCCGCUUCUCUCUCUUCUCUCCUCCCUGGAACAGCAGCUCUGAGUCCGACUCAAAUCCUCCGUCCCGGUCUGGCUCCAAGAAGCUGCGUAACUACAGUCGGAGAGCUGCCACAGGGCCGGCCGGAGCCAGGGGCCCUGAUACGCCCGAGUUCAAGCCCAGCGGCCCGGAGCACUUCCAGUAUUCCGAACCUGUCAUCUCUAAGGUGACAGACUACAUCUAUGUUGGGAAUCUGAAUGCAGCGUACAAUGGGCGUACGCUGUGCCGCAACAACAUCGACAGUAUCAUCGACAUGAGUAGUGUUCCGGGUGAACCGGGCCCCACUCUCAGCCUCAUACCCUGCACCUGCUCCCGUGGUGCCCGGCACAGCUGGUCCCGCCUCAAAGUGGACAUUGGAGAUGUGCCAGAUGCUCUGGGUGAUGGCCCGGCACUGAAGCAGCGCUGCUUUGAGGACAUCAACGAAUGCAUCAAUGCCUCCACUGAGAAGAGAAAGCGUGUCCUGGUCCACUGUCGGGAUGGUUUCUCUCUGGCACCGACAUGUAUCAUCCAGUAUCUAAUGGUGAAGCAAAACAUGAGGCUGAUUGCUGCCUAUGAGCUACUGAGAGCCAAGUACCCGGUCAACAUCAGAGAAUGCCACCAAAAUGUGCUGGUGAGCCUGGAGACAGCGCUACGGCCUGGUGGCAAUGUCGACCCAGAAUGCUUCAAACAGGCCAUUUCACGUAAAGUGGCAUGGACUUGACUCACUUUUCCAAUAUUUGUGGUUGCUGCUCAAGGCUUUCUUUGUUCCUCCCAUGGUAUUGAAAAUUUUCCUGAAGACAACCAAGGGCAGCUGUACCUCUCCCUGUAGACUGGACAACUGGAUAUUAUUGUCACCACUUAAGUUCAAUGGUUGUAAAUUUAUAAAUUUGAUGUAUUUCCUCCCCAGACUUGUAAAUGUGAUCUGGCUGUAAUUUCCCCUCCAUCCUCACUGAUCUUAUUCACAAUAGAAUUCAAUUUCAUUGUAUAAUAAUUUAAUAGUGUUUGCUGUAUAGUGAUACAGUCCUGCUUCAGUUCUGUGCCAUGCUGUUGUGUUGGUGUUCUAUAUCAGGGGAAUUUCUUAAUGGGUGAUCUCAGGAGAUUAUUGAUGUCAUACCAGUACAGGGUGGGAAAUUCGUCAUUGCAUUAGUCUGCGGCCUCGUUCACAUUUGGAACAAAUGCGUCUUGGAGAACUGUGUGUAGAGCACAUGGAGUUAGCACUAUGUUGAAGAGUAGUAAUGGUGACGGUGGCCACUGUUGGUUUAGAUUAUAUCCCAAACUAAUGUAUGAUACCCAUUGUGUGCUGAUUAUCUACAUGCAGUCAGUGCGGUAUAGAAUUGACAGUUGGGUGAUUAUGUCUUGAUGCACAAAUAUACUGCUGCAGGUAUGGAAUUGCCUUUCAGGCUUAAGAAAAGUUUAAGCAUAUAAAUUCUGAACAAAGGUAACUUUUUAGAAAUCAAGCAUGACAUCUCGAAGUGUGCUCCAGUUGUUGGAAUCCUCCCACACAGAACAUUAGAGUCUCUGUAGGAUGAUUUUAUCUGCCUCAUUGCUGGUAUCCUGGUCACUGCCGGCCGCUGACUUCAUGACAUUACCUAACUCUCAAAACUUGACAAAAUCCUUACCAGAGUUGAAAUUCUACAUAAGUCUGGAAAGGAAAAACUUUCUGGACUUCUUCAAGCACAGUUGAGUUUACACUGAGUGCUUUUCACCAAAUAUGUUGGUGACAUAUAGCUUGCAUGCAGAACAUUUUUGUAUCAGCUUGCAUUGUAUUUGUGAACAUAUUGGGAGAUCUGACGAUGCAAAGAGACUGGGAUCUCUGGCUUUACUGCUGCUGAACCUGAAUUCUGUUUUAAGAGCAGACACUCAAGAUCUAUUUAAGAUUUUUUCCAAUAUUAUUUGUGAACUGCCAUCACCUCACACAUGCAAAGAUCUGCAAGCAUCUCACAAUAAGGUGAAGUAAGUGGGCAGCAUUUGUUUGGAGGUCUGUUUUUUUUUCUUCUUCUCAUAAACGUCUGUUUUGCUGGAACAAUGUUAAUUUGGAUAUUGUAGUUGUAAUUGGAUAAAAUAGGGACUUGGUUUUAAACUCUCUUGAAAUAAAGCUGAAAUUUUGCUGCAGAUACUAAGAUUGGUGGACAUGCAAUUUGUCACCACUGGAGCUAUUACAAUUGACUACAUUAUGGAUUGAUACGCUUUUUGGAUAUGUUAUAAGACUGACCAGUGUCUGUUGUUUGUGACCUUUUCAUGCUGCUCUUUUUUUGUUUGUGUGUUUUUUGAGGUCAUACUUGAUGGAAGAUGAAUGGCUAGACGUCCUCUGUGAGGAAGACUGUAGCCCCAUUUUCAGGCAGUUCGUUUGGGAAAAUGAGUUUGGUGCUCUGACUGUGGCUCUGAAUCUGAACUUUAGCAUAUGCAGUGAAAUUGGAUGAUGUGUAUCUCUUCAGUAUUAAUAUAUCCGUGCCACUGAACUGCGUUCAAGGUUUACAUGGCAAGAGAUGAUUUUGCACUACUCCCAUGGUUGUUCUAAAUGCAAAGUACUUCCUUUUGUUAGUUUGUGUUUUUUGAGGCUUGUUGAUGACUUUGCACUCAUGGUGAGAAACAAUUGUCAGUUGCACAUUUUACAGUUACCACAGUUGCAUUGAAUGAGCAGCUUAAGGCAACGAGUCAGUGAAAAUAAUCCACAUUUUUGUCUUAAUACGGACCUUUAGUUUCCUAAUACAGUCAUUUUUACUCCGCCACGGAAUGCGGCGGCGUUAUGUGACGAUCGCUGUACGUUUGUCUUUCAUUCUGUUAAUCUGUCUUUCCGUCUGUGCGCAACAUUGCUCAAAAAUGGACUAAGGGAUUUUAUGAAAUUUUCAGGGAAGGUCAGAAAUGACACAAAGACCAAGUGAUUAGAUUUUGGCAGAGAUGCAGCUUCUAGUGUGGAUCCACAGAUUUGUUAAGGAUUUCCAUAUCAUUGCGAGAUAGCGGCACAUCAUCACUAUAACUAUGAUAAGUGAAUACUACGAUCACAUGAUUGUGAUCCUACUAAAAAUCCACCACUGUAGACUUUCUUGGACUUAUGUCGGAAAUGAUACGACUGAGCAGUCUUGGCAUAGUACUGCACUCUGAGUGCUUUUCUUGUUAUGUAGUCACACAUAAUUCAACUACAACUUUUCGUCAAGCAUUCAGUGCCAACUAGGGGUACAGCUGACAGUUAUUUUGAUUAUCUUUCAUUCUAAAUAUGUCUCAAUGAAUUGAUAUAUUGUUAAUCUACAUAGUGUCAGACAAUCUGAUUAUACUUGUGAGAAUAUAAGCAAACCUGCAUAGUUGGCUCGGCAUAGUUACUCUUCAAGCAUGAUGUUGUCAAAACAGUUAUUUGAAAAUUCAUUUUCACUCCAGAUUAUAUGAAUUGUAUGAACCGACUGCCCUUAAUUUAGUUAGUUCAGGUGAGAGCAGUGAAAUUAAAAUAAUGAAACACAUCUGGAUGAAUCUUGAUAUAAAGAGGAUCUUUUUUUUUUUUUAAAUUUAAAACUACUUUUUGUUUGUUUGUGCAAUGCUAUUUCCUGUCCAGCCUGCUUUUCACCACAAUGUGGAAGUAUAUUACAGACAUGUCUCUUCUGAUCCUGGUUUCAGGUGAGAAACAGCAGCAUAGCGGAGCCUCAGAUGUCCUCACUAUAGGGAUCAAGGGUUCAUGUUUUCCCUUUACUCUGUUUGUUAUCCCACAUUAAUAUGGUUCUCUUGAACCUUUAAGUUUUGCCACUACAUUACUCUAAAUGUGUUUGCUGAUGAGCAAAGAGGCAAGCUAGUUGUUAAAAUGUUGGUCCUGGUUUGUGUCUUGUCUGGCCUUUUGGUAAUGACCCAAUCAUUAUACCUGUAUGGUCAAAUAGGAAAUUAUUUUUGGCACAGAGCGUUAGCCAGACAGACAUUAGCUAAUUGGUGAAUUUUCACUUGAAUGAAAAGAAAUUGCAUCCACAUGGAGCAUUAAAGCAUUGUGUUAAUUUUUUUUCUGCAUUUCUUUUUUAUUUUGACAGUUCUGUAGUGAAUGGGCAGCCUCAGUGCGAAUGAGUUGUACAGCAUAAUCCAACAGCUGAGACAUUAUUCCCUGGCAGUACAUUUCAUGUGAGCGGUGUGGUAGGAGUGGAAGCUAAAAGUAUGGUGCCUUCAUUUGGAGUUGUCUCUUGACCGUAUGGUGACAUUUGCACACUUUGUAUGAAUUUUAACUUCUUGAUAUGUUGUAAAAUGUUGAAUAUUUUUGGAUGUUUUAUUUUGAGCAAAAAAAGUAUGAACAUACAUUUGUGUACAGUGGUCCUUGCUGUGAUAUAUUUGCUAGUCAUUUGUGCACAGUACCGUGUUUUGUUAAUGCAGAUGGUGAUGAGACUAAAAAAGAUGAUAUAUUUCUCGACGGAUGUUUUAGAGCUCAUAUGAGGUGCUGUAGUAGACAGAGAAUCAGCAGAUUUUGGUUUUUAUCUUUUAUUGUAAAUGCUCUGUGUCAAAGUCGUCAUAUCAAACUGAAUAGGUUUUCUAACUUGUUCUCUCAGGUGAUUUCUCAGUGGCCCAGAAUGUUCUCAAUGAAUACAAUGUUCAGAAAUGUGAAGCAAUGUUUUUCUCAUGUCAUGUUUCUUAAUCAGAAUUUAAUUUGUACUGUUGAAAUAUUAAAGGAACAGAUGUACUACUCAACAGUUGUUAGUGUUGACUUGCCAAACAACCUGUGUUCCUUUGUGGAAUAAUGAACUUUACAGUAGAAAGCCAUUCGAACUCAAAGCAAACAGCUCUAAAGUAUAUGCGAUGUGCUCUGAUAGUGUGGAGAGGCAUUAUAUAUUUUCUUUGACAUUAGGUCUUUUUAACUCUCUGAGCAGUUUCUGGGCACUGUGAGCUCAUUUUGACUGCAGUAUAAAGUCCUGUACCUCUAAGGAAACAGUAUACACAUUGCAAGAAGUAGUGAGAACUCCAAACUGUUUUGUGCAAUGCGACACAAUAUUAAUGCAAUAUUAAUAAUAUGUUGUAAAAAAGACAAAAAUUAAAUUUAUCUGGGUUUUUUGUGGAAAAAGCAAUACUGGAAAACAUAUGGUGACUCUACAUACUAUUGAUUCCUAGCUUUU